rnacentral:tRNA from 2 species
GUGGGUGUAGCUCAGCGGUUAGAGCAGUGGACUGUGGAUCCACGGGUCGGGGGUUCAAAUCCCCUCACCCACC